rnacentral:tRNA from 1 species
UCCCUGGUGGCUCAGACGGUAAAGUGUCUGCCUGUAAUGCAGGAGACCCAGGUUCGAUCCCUGGGUUGGGAA